rnacentral:lncRNA from 10 species
CGGAAAAGGGCGGACGCGUGGCCCACGCACUGGAACGGCUCCACGAGUCUGUCACCCAGGUUGGAGUGCGGUGGUGUGAUCUUGGCUCCCUGCAACCUCCACCUCCCAGGUUCAAGCGAUUCUCCUGCCUCAGCCUCCCAAGUAGCUGCGAUUACAGGCACCCACCACCAUGAAGAAUGGCAUUUUUAAAAGAUGGCUUUCUUAAAAAAGGAUACUCAGUUGCUCUUCUACUCAUACCAAGUCCUGCAGACACAUUCUGGGACUGCACCUUAUGAGUGCUGCUCACUCUGUUUCCUGCAGAAGACAUACAGAGCCGUUCGCAUAGAGGGCCAUGAUUUUGAUUCAGCAAUUCUUCAAACCACUGAUGCUGGUUGACCAUUUGACUUUGUUUUUGAAGUAUUUUUUACAUACAGUGUACAGAACAUUUCCGCUGGAUAUUUGGAUACUGAACAGGAGUAACAAGAGGAACAGCUCCUACCUCCCCCCUGCCCCUUCCCUCACAAGCCUGUGAGUCAGGGCAGGGGCAGCCACUGAAAGUAGCAGAGGCCUUCAUAAAGGAGAACACUUCUCCAUGUUGCCAUCAUGUGAAGAAGGACAUGUUUGCUUCUGCUUCUGCCACGAGUGUAAGUUUACUGAGGACUCCCCAGCCGUGCUGAACUGUUGAAGGCAAUGGUGAUGAAAGUAAAUAUUUAAAAACACUACCAUAGCUGUCCCAAAUUUCAGAAAAACAAGGUACCACUGGAACCAUUUAAUUUUGUUGGAACACAGAAUGACCAUCUUGUGAUCAGUUUUCUGCAUCUUUAAAAUACCUGGAAGGUCAUCUUUAAAUAGUACAAUCUGAUAAAAGUUUAAUACUUAGUGUAGACUUAUAUGAAUACUUCUACAUUCAUACAUUUUUGUAUACUUAUACAUUUUCAUACUCAAUUAAUGCUUAAUUCAAAAAAUAUCUGAGUACCUGCAGUGUUCCCCAUGCUACAUACUGGGCUUAAACAGCCAAAAAGACACAGUCUUUGACCUCAAAAUACUUUGAUUCUUGUAAGAAAAACUGACAAAGACAAAGAGAAGGCAAUGUGAAAACUUCUACAGUUGGGAUAACCUUGGAGGUUACAGGAUGUGGACUCACUGAAAGCUUUCUGCUGGACUUGAACUUGAAGCUGAAGUCUGAAGGACAGAUGGGUGUUGCUUAGCGAAGGGAAAGUAGGAAGCAAAGACCCCUGGACAGAGUGUAGCAGGCACAGAGGGAGCAUGACACCUUCGGGAGAGAGCCGCAAGCACCUGGGCCCAGAUCCCAGCUUUAGCUUCAUUAGCCCUGUGAACUCUGUAUGUCAGCCUUGACAUAGAAAAAAAGAGGAUACUAAACCUCCAUCUUAAAAGAGACUUGGAAGAAGCUGGGAUUAUAGGCACACCACCACACCUGGCCCCAGAAAAGGGAAUCCUUGACCUGCAAGAAUCGAGGAAUAUUGUUUCUGACAUGCUCAGUGGACCUACUGCUGGUGUUCUUAACCAUUUCCUUCCUAAGUGGAACUUCUUUUGAGGUCAGAGGCACAGGAAUAUCAGUCUGU